GCCCAGGAGAUUCAAACAUCCAGAUGGACGUUGAAGGACGGACAUGUGACAUAUGUAGAGAUCGGAGUAACACAGAGACUUGAGGAUGGACUCUUUUAACUUGGACUUAAGUGAGGGACCUGUUUGUAUGCAAUGAGAACAAUGGAACAAAAGAUACCUCCCCAGCCCCCAACCAAAAGCGUCAGAAAGCAAGGGUAAAACAUCACCUUGUGUUGCUGGUGUUGUGUUCCAUAAAUUAGACAAUGCUGGGUUUUAUUGCUGAGGCCCUCCAACAUGUACUUUGCGUGUUUAUGGUCGAUCGCAUACUGGUAUUAAAAUGCUGGACAGGUUUGAUACCUCUGCUGUCAUACCACUCUGAUUUUAAUAAUACAAUAAAGCUUCUGCCAUAGACAUACA